CCAAGGCGGCGACGGGUAGCCGGCCUGAGAGGGUGACCGGCCACAUUGGGACUGAGAUACGGCCCAGACUCCUACGGGAGGCAGCAGUGGGAAUAUUGCACAAUGGGCGGAAGCCUGAUGCAGCAACGCCGCGUGCGGGAUGACGGCCUUCGGGUUGUAAACCGCUUUCGCCUGUGACGAAGCGUGAGUGACGGUAAUGGGUAAAGAAGCACCGGCUAACUACGUGCCAGCAGCCGCGGUGAUACGUAGGGUGCGAGCGUUGUCCGGAUUUAUUGGGCGUAAAGGGCUCGUAGGUGGUUGAUCGCGUCGGAAGUGUAAUCUUGGGGCUUAACCCUGAGCGUGCUUUCGAUACGGGUUGACUUGAGGAAGGUAGGGGAGAAUGGAAUUCCUGGUGGAGCGGUGGAAUGCGCAGAUAUCAGGAGGAACACCAGUGGCGAAGGCGGUUCUCUGGACCUUUCCUGACGCUGAGGAGCGAAAGCGUGGGGAGCGAAC
rnacentral:rRNA from 1 species